rnacentral:rRNA from 2 species
AAAUUGAAGAGUUUGAUCAUGGCUCAGAUUGAACGCUGGCGGCAGGCCUAACACAUGCAAGUCGAACGGUAACAGGAAGCAGCUUGCUGCUUUGUUGACGAGUGGCGGACGGGUGAGUAAUGUCUGGGAAACUGCCUGAUGGAGGGGGAUAACUACUGGAAACGGUGG